AAAAAAAAAAAAAAAGGGAAAGAGAGAGGCAGUAGUUGGUAAAAGUCAUCAAGUGGGCACGCCAUGAAGGUUACUGUGACAGCGAAAGGCAGAAAUUAUUGCUGCAAAACGCUAAAAAAAGAGAUAAUAUUACAGCUUCGUGUUGGGUCCCACUAAUUGAUGAAAAAGCUGUCCCACUCUUCCACUUGUUUCGAGCCCUCACGGCACUUCCAUAAAAGUCAGGUGACGUGGUCAAUUCCAACUCCGCAACCCAUUUUAACCGGAUUUGGCGGUAAAAGCAAAGCCAUUUAACCAUUGUACUGAAAUUUUUACCCGCGCGUGGACAUCACCUGCCAUUACCAC
rnacentral:lncRNA from 1 species